GACGGAUUUCACCCAUUGAUAGCACCACGCAGUGCAGAGCCAACAGUGGGCUACGCACAUACAGAACUGGAGUUACAGCAAGGAAAAGAGGAUGGCAGAUAGCCCUGCCCAUUCCAGCUGACACCUUUCUCCACCUGUAUGGGUUGUUAUUGCCAUCUUGGGAGCCUCGGCCUGCCUACUGUAUCUGUCG